rnacentral:rRNA from 1 species
UACAGAGGUGGCAAGCGUUGUUCGGAAUUACUGGGCGUAAAGGGCGCGUAGGCGGCCUUCUAAGUCAGACGUGAAAUCCCCAGGCUUAACUUGGGAACUGCGUCUGAUACUGGGAGGCUUGAGUGCGGGAGAGGGAUGUGGAAUUCCAGGUGUAGCGGUGGAAUGCGUAGAUAUCGGGAGGAACACCAGUGGCGAAGGCGACUACCUGGCCUGUUCUUGACGCUGAGGCGCGAAAGCUAGGGGAGCAAACGGG